GGGAAACCCAAUCUCCCCACUGCAAAGGGAAACGUCCAACUUGGAGUGUUGCUCUCCAAGCAACACAGCCUUCACCCUCUCCUGAUGGGACCUACCCAGGCGGUUCACCAAGGACCCCUCCAGAGCUCUCAAGUGCAUGGGUAGUUCUCAGACUUCAUGUUUUCUAUGGCUGUUGAGCUGUUUGCACCUCCUUUGGGAAGAGCAGAGGAGAUUUACACUGUAAAACGCAACAAGAUAAAAACAAGGAAAGCAAGAACCAUGAUGAAUCUCCAUUGGGUAGGGUUCCAGGAUUUCCAAAGCUCACUCACAUCUAUUGUGCAUCAGAACAUGGGCAAACCAACUGCAUGAAAUAAUUUGGAAGUCACAAGUCCACUGCGUCUAUUUUUUUUUAAGUGAAAUGGAGAGAUGCUGGCUGAACAAAGUGUUCCAUUUUCUAAAUAGAAUGCUUUAUUUGGCCAGGCCAGAUAUGACCUAAUGAUGAAGAUUCAAUUGCAUCUGAAAGGAAGAUAAAUUAAAAUAUAAGUUGUAAAAGUGCAUAUUCUUACUAAACUGAACAUGGGACAGGGUUUUCUCUUCUAACAGCUGUCCACUCUUACUUCUUCUCUCUGAUUUGACAGAAAAUGGUAAAUGUCUUGGAAAUUAUUUAAAAUGUUGUGGGAUUGUGUUUGUUCUAAAUUUUGGAUUGGGAAAGCAGACAACUGUUCCUGGUAGGGAAUCAGGAUAAUGUCACAGGAACAUCUUGACUGGACUUGUGACUCCCAGUAAUGGGAGAGCACAUGCUUGCUCCUGACAUAUAGUAAGUGCCCAACAAGUAAGUUUUAAAGAACUGAAGCCCAAUAUUCUGUUUAUCCUAGGCAAAAGGCCCUGAGCAUCACUAAAGUGGCAAUUUCAUAUUAUAUGGAGAAAUUUGAGAGUAAAUUGUAAUAAAUUAGUAGAAUAAUGUUGUAUUCAUUGGCAAAACCUAUGCUUUUUCAAAAAUAUAUGACAAUGAUAAUUGAUGUCCAUGAUGAGCUCCUAGAUUCACGACUUCUAAGUACCUUAACUAGAAGCAUUAUUAUAAAAAGCAUGGGACAGGGAGUCCACUGAACUG
rnacentral:lncRNA from 10 species